rnacentral:rRNA from 1 species
UACGAAGGGGGCUAGCGUUAUUCGGAUUUACUGGGCGUAAAGCGCACGUAGGCGGAUUGCUAAGUCAGGGGUGAAAUCCUGGAGCUCAACUCCAGAACUGCCUUUGAUACUGGCGAUCUUGAGUCCGGGAGAGGUGAGUGGAACUGCGAGUGUAGAGGUGAAAUUCGUAGAUAUUCGCAAGAACACCAGUGGCGAAGGCGGCUCACUGGCCCGAUACUGACGCUGAG